rnacentral:rRNA from 1 species
AUGCCAACCCGAUUCCUAGGGUCGCCACUCUCCCUGAGGAAGUUGCGCAAGAUCGAUUUUCAACCAUUGCUGGACAAGAUUAGAGCGCGGCUGGCUUGCUGGAAAGCUCGCCUCCUAACUGCAGCAGGACGGCUCGUGCUCAUAAACGCCGUUCUCUCAUCCAUGACGGUAUACUGGCUUGUUAUGUUUGAGCUGCCAACCUGGGCCCGCAAGGAAAUUGAUAAGCUGCGUCGGGCGUGGCUCUGGCGUGGUGAUGAGGUUUGCCACGGCGGUCACUGCAAGGUGGCCUGGAGCCGGAUCUGCAGGCCUAAGCAAUUGGGGGGCCUUGGCAUCGUGGACCUGUGGCAGUUCGGCACUGCGUUACGGCUACGCUGGCUUUGGCUUGAGCGAACUGCCCCUGAGCAGCCGUGGGUUGGCCUC